GCAAUGGGGGAAAACCCGACGCAGAGACGCCGCGUGGGGGAGGAGGGCCUUCGGGUUGUAAAAUCCUUUUACCACUCAGGCAGGCUCCCAGUUUUGUGGGGGUUGACGGUAAUUCGGGAAUAAGGACCGUCUAAUUACUUGCCAGCAGCCGCGGUAAUAAGUAGGGUGCUACCGUUGUCCGGAAUUAUUGGGGGUAAAGAGCUGGUAGGCGGCAUGUCACUUAUUCUGUGAAAGACCGGGGUUUAACUUCGGUUUUGCAGUGGAUACGGGCAUGCUAGAGGUAGGUAGGGGAGAUUGGAAUUCCUGGUGUAGCGGUGGAAUGCGCAGAUAUCAGGAGGAACACCGGUGGCGAAGGCGGGUUUUUGGGCCUUACCUGACGCUGAGGAGCGAAAGCAUGGGUAGCGAACAGGAUUAGAUACCCUGGUAGUCCUUGCCGUAAACGAUGGGCGCUAGGUGUGGGGACUUUCCACGGUUUCCGCGCCGUAGCUAACGCAUAG
rnacentral:rRNA from 1 species